rnacentral:lncRNA from 1 species
GCACCUUUUGGCAAACGCAGCGACAACCACCUGCACCGCCGGGUGCCGGCACUCGGCUCCCCGUGCCCGUAGCCCAGGAUGGGGCCGACGCUCAGGAGCGACCCCCCGCGCCGCUCAGCCCCUCCUGCCCGCAGGGGCAGCGCUGCCGCCCUCCGCGUCGCGUCCCCAGGGCGCUGCGUGCCUCAGGCGGGCGGGGCCGCGCCGUGCGGCCGGGACACAUGGGGCGAGCCGGCAGCAGCGCUACUCACCGGGAGGGUUUACCGCCGCCGGCGUUGCCAUCUUGUCUCUGAGCGGAAUUAAGGGAUGAGAAAGCCACCCCAGAAGAAACAAACGUAGAGAGAUCUGACAGAGUGCUGUCAUAGCUUUCAACGCACGUAUCAAAUAAGCCAAACAACCACCGAAUUUAAACCAAAGCUAUUCAACUGUGCAUGCCGUCCCCUUGCAUGCUGUCCCAUGAGACUUUAGAUUAGCCCAGAAAGAGCACGUUGCAGCCAGUAUAUCUGAUUUUUUGCUCCACCUAAAUAAGACCUUAGGGCUUAUAAUGGAACGUGUUCUGUCAAAUUUAGUGCAAUUCAGACAUAAUUAUGCAAAAUAAGGCUCUUUCUUCUUUUCCUUUGGGUUUGGUGUGAGCUUUGUUACUCUGUUCAGUUUCACAUGCAAUUCUUUGUUCACUUAGAUUGAGAAAUGAGAUUGAUUCUCCCUCCUCCCUACCUUCUCUAUCUUAAUAGGUAGUUUUAGCAGAGUCUUUUAGAAACAAUCCAUAAAUGAAUUGAACUGUCCUCUACUUAUCUGGAAUGAACAAUUUCCUUGCUGUGCCCUUCUGAGCCUUUCCAUAUCUGUGCUGAGAUCUGUAACAGUGGUAACUGGUGAAAGAAAUCAUCACUGCCAUUAAAGGAUGUUCUAGUAAUGGUGGAAAUGCAUGGUGUGUUUCCUUUCGCUGUGACACGAAGAACAGGUAGGCAGUGCAGCAUGAAAGAAACCAGGUACCGUUUCAUUUCUACAAGAUCAUUCCCAGUUCUGCUGUCUGAAGCAUAAUUCCUAGGGGAUGGGGUUCCUCACAGCAAAAGCAAGGACAGCACUGACCUAUACCCUUACAGUCACUGAGAGAUUAAACAACACAUCAGCAGUACCAAGUGAAAAUAUAUACAUAUCGCAAUAUGAGAGAGAUUUACUCUUCGUGAGGCACAACAGGGUGCUUCAUUCACCGUAUUAAUAUAAUUACACACAAAUGUUGACAGGAUGUGUAGCAACAGGAAAGUGAAUGAAUUAGGAAAAGCGAUUUUUAUCUCAAUCUUGUUAUUGUGUACCAGAGAAAGAGUCUGGUUGGUGUCUUUGUAAUGAUCGUUUCCAAUUUAGAGGCCUAUUAUCACUGAUACCAGUGCUCAGCAUAGAUGUGUCUUGUGCAUCUUGGCACUAGAACUACAAAUAGAUCAGUUAAGCACUGCAGCACACUAUAAUUGUUUCUCAUUAACACAUUUCCUUUGAAGUUUCAGCACUGAUCGGCAAGUUGGGAAACGAAUUUGUAUCUCCCCAUGUGUUUUCAGCCCAUGCCAGGCAAUAAUAACGUCUAAAAGGUUUUUAUUUCUUUUAAAUGGUGGAAAGCCGUGUUGUGUUGUGUUGGCUAUCUAAAGUAUUACUUCUUAUGAAGAAAUGAGUGUUUCCAAGCUGGUUUGUUCACCCCGAAUCAAUAAAGUCCAUGCCCAUGACCUUUUAUAUGUAUAUGAAUGAAAGCAAUGAAGCUUUUAUAUGUAUAUAAAAGGUCAUUCAGGUAUUUUUCCAAUCUAUGGCAAUUCCACUUUGAAAGAGCUGAACACCGAGGUCUGAAACAGUGAAAAUUCAGCUCCUCAGCAGAAUUUACUUUUCUGGGGAGAUAAAGAAAGUAGGUAAAGUUUCAAAUAUUUUGAUCUGGUAUAAUCAGAACCGGGAACACAUUAAUAACGUCUCAUACUGUAAAAAGACCUCCCAGCUACAUCCUUUGGUUUGCAUUGCCACUGUAAUUGCAUUUAAUAUAUUGCACUCAAUUUAUCCAAAAGUCUUGGGUAGUUGGGAACAAUAUGUGUAUAUUAAGCAACCCCAUCCACCCAACUGCUGGCAACUGGAAUAUUAAGUGGCCUUUUUAAUUUUGUUCUGUCAUGUGUGGAUGACCGCGCUUGCCUAAAUAAGCUAUAGAGAAAAUCAUGAAGUGUUAAAAAAUGAACAAUCACCUGAAGGCCUUCAAAGCAUUUGUUAAGGAAAUUACAGCCUUGUUCUUUAAACUGUCCCAUAUCAUUUAAGAGGAAAUUGUAUCGUUCCUAUAAAGUACAAUAAAAUACCUUGAUAAGAAUGUGGAAGUUCCAUUAAUCUCUGUUCAGUCCUGCAGGUAUAGAAAUGCAAUUUCUAUGAUGUUCUCUACAGUUAUUGCUGUUAAAUUCUACAGUGCUUUUCCUGUAGAGAAAAUGACAUUGAGUAUUAGAGAAACC